GAUGAACGCUGGCGGCGUGCCUAAUACAUGCAAGUCGAGCGAACAGAUAAGGAGCUUGCUCCUUUGACGUUAGCGGCGGACGGGUGAGUAACACGUGGGUAACCUACCUAUAAGACUGGGAUAACUUCGGGAAACCGGAGCAAAUACCGGAUAACAUUGGAAACGGAUUGUUUCUAAAGUGAAAGAUGGUUUUGCUAUAAUUAAUGAUUGAACCCGCGCCGUAUUAGCUAGUUGGUAAGGUAACGGCUUACCAAGGCGACGAUACGUAGCCGACCUGAGAGGGUGAUCGGCCACACUGGAACUGAGACACGGUCCAGACUCCUACGGGAGGCAGCAGUAGGGAAUCUUCCGCAAUGGGCGAAAGCCUGACGGAGCAACGCCGCGUGAGUGAUGAAGGGUUUCGGCUCGUAAAACUCUGUUAUUAGGGAAGAACAAACGUGUAAGUAACUGUGCACGUCUUGACGGUACCUAAUCAGAAAGCCACGGCUAACUACGUG
rnacentral:rRNA from 1 species